UCUAGACUCAAAGAUAUGAGCUGAAAACCGAACAGUGUUUGAGCUGCAGGACAGGUUCCGACUUCUCCGUUGUUGCUAAGAUUUGACUUGAAAACGGCAGAAUUGAGUCUUGGACCCUUCAUAAAAGUUUUAGGUCUAUGUCUUAUCUUUCCAUC
rnacentral:pre_miRNA from 1 species